CUGAAUAUGGGGGGACCAUCCUCCAAGGCUAAAUACUCCUGACUGACCGAUAGUGAACCAGUACCGUGAGGGAAAGGCGAAAAGAACCCCGGCGAGGGGAGUGAAAAAGAACCUGAAACCGUGUACGUACAAGCAGUGGGAGCACCCUUUGGGGUGUGACUGCGUACCUUUUGUAUAAUGGGUCAGCGACUUAUAUUCUGUAGCAAGGUUAACCGUAUAGGGGAGCCGCAGGGAAACCGAGUCUUAACCGGGCGUUAAGUUGCAGGGUAUAGACCCGAAACCCGGUGAUCUAGCCAUGGGCAGGUUGAAGGUUGGGUAACACUAACUGGAGGACCGAACCGACUAAUGUUGAAAAAUUAGCGGAUGACCUGUGGCUGGGGGUGAAAGGCCAAUCAAACCGGGAGAUAGCUGGUUCUCCCCGAAAGCUAUUUAGGUAGCGCCUCGUGAACUCAUCUCCGGGGGUAGAGCACUGUUUCGGCUAGGGGGCCAUCCCGGCUUACCAACCCGAUGCAAACUGCGAAUACCGGAGAAUGUUAUCACGGGAGACACACGGCGGGUGCUAACGUCCGUCGUGAAGAGGGAAACAACCCAGACCGCCAGCUAAGGUCCCAAAGUCAUGGUUAAGUGGGAAACGAUGUGGGAAGGCCCAGACAGCCAGGAUGUUGGCUUAGAAGCAGCCAUCAUUUAAAGAAAGCGUAAUAGCUCACUGGUCGAGUCGGCCUGCGCGGAAGAUGUAACGGGGCUAAACCAUGCACCGAAGCUGCGGCAGCGACGCUGAUGCGUUGUUGGGUAGGGGAGCGUUCUGUAAGCCUGUG
rnacentral:rRNA from 1 species